rnacentral:rRNA from 1 species
AGAUUGAACGCUGGCGGCAUGCCUUACACAUGCAAGUCGAACGGCAGCACGGGAGCAAUCCUGGUGGCGAGUGGCGAACGGGUGAGUAAUACAUCGGAACGUGCCCAAUCGUGGGGGAUAACGCAGCGAAAGCUGUGCUAAUACCGCAUAAGAUCUACGGAUGAAAGCAGGGGAUCGCAAGACCUUGCGCGAAUGGAGCGGCCGAUGGCAGAUUAGGUAGUUGGUGAGGUAAAGGCUCACAAGCCUUCGAUCUGUAGCUGGUCUGAGAGGACGACCAGCCACACUGGGACUGAGAC